rnacentral:rRNA from 1 species
UACGUAGGGUGCAAGCGUUGUCCGGAAUUAUUGGGCGUAAAGAGCUCGUAGGCGGUUUGUCGCGUCUGCUGUGAAAACUCGGGGCUUAACUCCGGGCCUGCAGUGGGUACGGGCAGACUAGAGUGCGGUAGGGGAGACUGGAAUUCCUGGUGUAGCGGUGAAAUGCGCAGAUAUCGGGAAGAACACCCGUGGCGAAGGCGGCUCACUGGUCCGGUACUGACGCUGAGGUGCGAAAGCGUGGGGAGCAAACAGG